GUUGGCCAGGCUGGUUUCGAUGUCCUAACCUCAGUUUGAACGUUACAGAUUUAGAAGUUUAGCUUUCCUGCGCUGUACAGAAACGAUGACCUCACUGCACCUGUGAAGAAAGAGCUGCCCCAGAAAAGGCAGUCUUAGGGUUGGGGAGUUGGCCUAGGAUUGGAAUUUGAUUUGAGAUUUUAGGCUUGAGAGGCUACGAUGGAGGACGGGUGUUUCUGAUAGAAGAUUUCUGGGAUCGAGCACUUGCAGUCCAACGAAACAAUCAUCUGGUCUGCUGGAGUCAAGCAGCAGGUGCAGCUGGCAAUCUGACCUGCUGCUAGGUUUGCCAUCACUGUCCUUGGGUGACAAAAACAGAAAAAAGCAUGUGAGCACGGCUGCUCCUGAAUUACUCUGCUGUGCCUGAUGCCAUCAACAGCAGCUCCUGAACACAGGCUUCCCUCAUACCUGUAGACAUACGUGGACCAGCACAGCCUUGUUUAGAUCUGGCUGAUCCAAACUCAUCUGCUUCUCCUGGCACUCGAGUGGUCUUGGAUUAUGCCAUGUUUAGCAAUUGAGCUACAAGUACUAAGAUGCUACUUGCUAUAGGUGGAAUGUUUAUGUUACCUCAAAAUUCAUAUGUUGGAAUCCUAAGCCCCAAGGUAUUAGAAGGUAGGGCCUUUGGGAGGUGAUUAGGUCUUGAGGGCAGAGCCCUCAUGAGAGGAAUUAGUGCCCUUAUAAAUGGGACCCCAGAGUGCUUGCUCCCUUGUCAUUUUCUCCAUGUCAGGACACAGUGAGAGGAUGGCCAUCUGUGAACCAGGAAGUGGACCCUCACCAGAUGCAGAAAUCUGCUGGCAACUUGAUCUUGGACUUCCAGCCUCCAGACCUGUGAGAAAUAAACUUGUUGGUUGUAUGCUACCCUGUCUAUUGUAUUCCAUUAUAGCAGCCUGAAUAGACUACCUCUUAUAACACUACCAAACCAAUGUAAUGGUGAGUCAAAUCAAUUUGAACAACAAAUGUUGAAGUGAAAUGAACUGUUCCCCUUUGGAUGGUAUAUUUGUAUAUGGGGAGAACAGUGGGAAACAGAAUGUCUCUCCACUUGGGAUAGGGUUUGCUUUGGGGCCCAUGUAUUGCCCCCUAAAUUACUGACAAUACACCAAACAUCAGCACAUCAGUCUAAAUUCCUUUGUGUGGGUUGUAGCAUAUAGUAGCCUGGCCUUAGUUUUACUACUUUGUGGCUGCCUAAAGAUACAAGGCCCCAAUCACUGAUUACCUCAGCCAUUUCUCAGGGUUGUGAUGACAGCAAGCAACCCUGUGGGAUGAGGCAAUGUCUCCCUCUGGGGUGAAAGACAGGCUGGAUGACCCAAGCUCAGUGUUUCUUGGCUGUGAUGUAAACCUAUUGUGUGUGCAACGUCCACCAGGGACCCUCUGCAUCACUGCUGUGGGAGUUGGAGGACAAGGGGAGCAGGUGCCCCUGUGACAUGCAUGCUGCUGCUGUCCCAGGAGCAGGAAGGUCCUUUGUCUCAGCCCCAGGAGUCUCAUGUUUUCUGUCAGCAUCUCUAAAACAUGUUAGCUUGUAAGAGGGUGGAGUCUCAGACCUUUUGCAGACCCUGACAAUCAACAGUGGAGGGAUUUUUCUUUAUGCUCUGACAGUCUCUAUGGUCUGGUCACUGGCAGUUUUGGAAGGUAGUGAUUGGUUGCCAAUGGUGUCAGGAUGAGGCUCCAGGGAUUUGAAUCCUGAGGUAAUUAAUAAUUGGAGGACUUUGAGGCUACUGAUUGAGUGUCUGUGGCUGUCAGUCACUGGGAGAGGGGCCAUAGUGGUAGUGUUUGUGUG